UCCCUAGAUGUUCUGGGCCGCACGCGCACUACACUGAACAGUUCAACAAGUCUUAACCUUGGCCGAUAGGUCUGGGUAAUCUUUGAACGCUGUUCGUGAUUGGGAUAGACCUUUGCAAUUAUGGGUCUUCAACGAGGAAUUCCUAGUAAACGCAAGUCAUCAGCUUGCAUUGAUUACGUCCCUGCCCUUUGUACACACCGCCCGUCGCACCUACCGAUUGAAUGGUCCGGUGAAAUCUCGGGACGGCGGCUUGGUCGCUUGCGUCCGACUGCUGAAACUUGAUUAAACCAUAUCAUUUAGAGGAAGGUGAAGUCGUAACA
rnacentral:rRNA from 1 species